UACGUAGGUGGCAAGCGUUGUCCGGAUUUAUUGGGUUUAAAGGGUGCGUAGGCGGUCCUUUAAGUCAGUGCUGAAAUACUCCAGCUUAACUGGAGGGGUGGCAUUGAUACUGGGGGACUUGAAUGAAGUCGAGGUAGGCGGAAUUGACGGUGUAGCGGUGAAAUGCUUAGAUAUCGUCAAGAACACCGAUAGUGAAGACAGCUUACUAGGCUUAUAUUGACGCUGAGGCACGAAAGUGUGGGGAUCAAACAGG
rnacentral:rRNA from 1 species